GUUAAAUUGUUGUCAGUACCGUGUGAGUUUCAGCACAACUCCUUUCACAGCAACACUUGAAAGUGUAAAAACUAUACAAACCAGCGGCGAUGACUGACAUCACUUGUAGUAACAUGCCCGACACAGCCGUCAUUUCGGGCUCUACGUUUUGAUGUGCGUUUGGCUGAGGCAUCAAGCAACGUGAAGUCAACAUGAAAACAAGCGCGGCGCCGGCGUGACGGGAUGUUUUCCCGGUGGUCGUUGGUGUAACAAAGUUUCAUAAUUGCCCACCUGCCAUGGACUCGGUGAGAAUGAGAAACUUGGAUGGAGCCGUUUAGCUGGAAUCGCAUCACACAGGAGGCGUUACCUUGGCAGUUUGUCUUCUGGCGCAGUGGGUCCGUCUGGGUGGUGCGAUCGUGUUACUAACUCGGAGCGCUAAUCCCUGGUUGAAGGGGAUACAUUUCAUAGAAAAUCAACGUUAUUGACACCGGUCAUAUGCCAUGAGAGGUAUCCUUGUAUGUGCAGACUAUUACCACCUGGGAUAUACAGCUGUCAGGGUGGAACAGGAGCCCAGGGGCUAGACCCGGACGAAGCCCCAGGAUUCACCUCUCUAGACGGGCAGUGUCGCUGACACGUGGGGGUCUGGCUGGACAGGAAAUAGAUCUGACGGUCACAUAAAUCAAUGGCCACUCGCAGAGUUACCAAGGUUGUAUUCCAAAUGCCGCGUUAUUCCCUACAAAGUGCUCUACAUCCGACCAAUGAGUUCUGCACUAUCUACGGAAUAGGGUGCCAUUUGGGACCCGCUCAAAUCACCAUCUGGGCGUGUGUUAACCUGAGUCAGAUGUGAGCUGUGCUAC